CAUCUCUAAGAUAUGUUACGUUGGCAAAAUUCUCAAUAUAUUUUUUACAAUUGAUUGAUAGAAGGAAAUGAAAAACUGAGUUAAUGAACAGCCCACGUACCAGUUCAUAUCUUAGAAUGUAAUAUACAAAAUGUAUACUCAUCACGAAAGCCACUGAAGAAGACUAAAUGUCGAAAUGCGUCUGGCUAUGGUACACAUUGUGCAUUCUAUGGGCACUGAUUUACGUACAUUGGCCACUGUUUACAAGUUGCCCUUGAUUUCCACACCGAUAUUGCCUUGAUUAUAUUAUAUAUUUUAUAUUUUAUUGUGUUUGGGCACUGAUCUGUUUACAUAUUCUUUGGCCAUCUUUUUUAU